rnacentral:rRNA from 1 species
GAUGAACGCUGACAGAAGGCUUAACACAUGCAAGUCAUGCGCGAAGCGGCGCUUGCGCAGUCUAGCCAAGGCGGACGGGUGAGUAACGCGUAAGGAACUUGCCCGGCAGACAGGGAUAACAUACGGAAACGAGUGAUAACACCGGGUAUUGUCAGACUGGCGCAUUCCGGGCUGAUGAAAGGAGACGCUGCAGGGUGGGCUUGGGUCCUAUUAGCUAGUUGGUGGGGUAACGGCCGACCAAGGCGAUGAUCGGUACCCGGCCUGAGAGGGUGAACGGCCAGAAGCGGACUGAGAGCAGGCGCUUGGAACUUCGGGCGGCAGCCGUGAGCAAUAUUGAACAAUGGCGGCAAAGUUAAGAAAGCCAUUCUGUGUGAAAGAAGAAGGUUUUCGGAUGAAAAAGUGCUUUCAGAAGGGUAGAUGAAAGUGACGGUACCAGCAGAAGAAGCGCGGGCAACAUACGU